GCCUGUCUAUCACCAACUGGACUGUUUUUGGCUCUCCCUCCUUGGAUAUUUUUGUUCAUCUAGACAGUAAGAAAUCAGCUGAUCUUCGAAAACCGGCAUAUAACGGCUCAGUUUACUAUCUCAAAUGCCUUAUCGGCAGCUAGGGAGUAGAAAUUAGCGCAGCAAGAUUCUGGUUUCCCAAAAAGAAGUUUCUUACCAUCAUUUGAGCAGGGCCCGCUACCAUCUCUCACGGUGACAUGUAAUACAGAUGCAGCAUGGUCAAAAGAAACAGGUACGACAGGGCUAGAAUGGUGUUUUGAAUCUCUGCAACCGCACAUCAGUAAAUGCUGCUCAAAAUCCCUUCUCUCUGUAUCAUCGCCUAUAACAACAAAGAGAAAAGAAAAAAAGCAGUUUGCAUCUUACAGUCAUCCGAAAUCAAUCGGAAUCGGAAACCGAGGAAGAGAGUGUGUGGCGGAGUUAAAGAGAAAGAGAGAAAUUGAACGUUUUCCAAAACUAGAG
rnacentral:lncRNA from 1 species